rnacentral:rRNA from 1 species
UACGAAGGGGGCUAGCGUUGCUCGGAAUCACUGGGCGUAAAGGGUGCGUAGGCGGGUCUUUAAGUCAGGGGUGAAAUCCUGGAGCUCAACUCCAGAACUGCCUUUGAUACUGAAGAUCUUGAGUCCGGGAGAGGUGAGUGGAACUGCGAGUGUAGAGGUGAGAUUCGUAGAUAUUCGCAAGAACACCAGUGGCGAAGGCGGCUCACUGGCCCGGUACUGACGCUGAGGCACGAAAGCGUGGGGAGCAAACAGG